UGCCAGUGAUAAACUGGAGGAAGGUGGGGAUGACGUCAAGUCAUCAUGGCCCUUACGACCAGGGCUACACACGUGCUACAAUGGCAUAUACAAAGAGAAGCGACCUCGCGAGAGCAAGCGGACCUCAUAAAGUAUGUCGUAGUCCGGAUUGGAGUCUGCAACUCGACUCCAUGAAGUCGGAAUCGCUAGUAAUCGUAGAUCAGAAUGCUACGGUGAAUACGUUCCCGGGCCUUGUACACACCGCCCGUCACACCAUGGGAGUGGGUUGCAAAAGAAGUAGGUAGCUUAACCUU
rnacentral:rRNA from 2 species